rnacentral:rRNA from 1 species
GACGAACGCUGGCGGCGUGCUUAACACAUGCAAGUCGAACGGAAAGGCCCUGCUUUUGUGGGGUGCUCGAGUGGCGAACGGGUGAGUAACACGUGAGUAACCUGCCCUUGACUUUGGGAUAACUUCAGGAAACUGGGGCUAAUACCGGUUAGGAGCUCCUGCUGCAUGGUGGGGGUUGGAAAGUUUCGGCGGUUGGGGAUGGACUCGCGGCUUAUCAGCUUGUUGGUGGGGUAGUGGCUUACCAAGGCUUUGACGGGUAGCCGGCCUGAGAGGGUGACCGGCCACAUUGGGACUGAGAUACGGCCCAGACUCCUACGGGAGGCAGCAGUGGGGAAUAUUGCACAAUGGGCGGAAGCCGGAUGCAGCAACGCCGCGUGCGGGAUGACGGCCUUCGGGUGGUAAGCCGCUUUCGCCUGGGACGAAGCGUGAGUGACGGUAAUGGGUAAAGAAGCACCGGCUAACUACGU